UGCACCGUGUUCAGAGGCAGGGACACUUCAGGGCCUAGGGCUUGGAUGAGGCAGACGUGCGUGUCUGCGGAGGACACCUCUGCUCCCAGCAGCGCCUGGUCUUUCCAGCCCUGCGCUGGCCGGCCUGGUGAAAUUUCGUUAUGGGCAGCGAAGGCCGGACCUAUCAGCUGGACCUGCUGCUGUAACACAUAGUGCAGUGGCAGGGGAGGCCUGCGGGGCCCCCCUGGCUAUGGGGCCCGGUCACAAUUGCGACCCUUGCAACCUCAUUAUCUACGCCACUGGUGAUUAGGGUUUCCACCCAGCCGGUGUUUUACCGUCACAGACGGUAUUUUCAACCUGCUGCAGGGCCAGAUUAAGGGUGCCUGGAGGAUGGAGUACUUCAGUAUGAUGGGGCCCACCCCUAGAAUAAACCAAUCUUGGCACAGAGGCAGGGCAUAGACUGGUGCAGUGCUGAGGGCACGAGCCACGCAGUGGGAAGCAUGCGGCACAUCGGUGACUGAGGAGGAUUGUCUCCUCCAGCAGAUGAUCUCCUCCUGCUCAGAGCAGCCAGAGAAGGGACCUUAGAGCAGAUGUGUGUUCCUCUGUACGGCACGUCUGCUCCCAACAGCCACUGCUACUCUUGCUAAAUGAACUUGGUAACAGAGAACAGCCCAGAGCAAGGCUUCUUUAGGCUCUUCAGUGGAGUAUGCCACCCGGAGGUAAGCGGCCAGAGCCGCAAAUGUGUUUGUAUUACAGGAAAAAAAAUCUGGGGCACGGGGCAUGGAGCAGAAUGUUUUCAGUCAUUUUUGUAAUUGUCACUUUCACUAUUGCUACAUUAGAACAUACGCCUACAAUGCAGAAGAUGGGACUUAGGGGUAAAGCUUGGAAACAUGUCAUGUUUUGCUUCAUUUCUAAUCGCCGACAUUAAGGGUAUGUGGUACAUCAGUGAUAUGCGUUGGUCACUAAUCUGAACUGUCAGCAUCAGUCACAGAUUGAAAUUGUUUGCGACAGCUGAGUAAGUCAAAUGUGGAGUGGGGCAUGUGAACUGAGUGCACAGAUUGAAUGUAAUGAUGAUAAUAGUGGCUACUAUUUUAUACCAUCCAUCUUGUUUGAUAUGCACUGGGCACAUGGGCUCACACAUCUGCAAAAUACUUAGUUAAUUGGUGUAUCAUUAUAUAAAACACUGUGUUGUUUUCCUCCUACACCCAUGAGGAAGUUGCCUACUGGUGAUGGAACCUGUAAGGCUUUGUUGGGGCACAUAUUUUUAUCAUAUCAUACUUGCCUUUGUCCAAUCUCUCUGUCAGGGACCAACCAGGGGACAGGGAGAGUGAGCCUCUAAAACCACUCUCCCUGCCUACUUCACCCUAAACGGUGGAUCGACAACUGGGCUCCGGUCCCUCCCUGAAAUAAAGUGAAGUGGCCUUAAAAACAAAUACUAAUAAAUAGUCGGUCACAAGCCAGAAACAUAACAGGAACAUAGAACUCUAUAAUAACUUUAAGUUCAGAGGACACAGAUCAGUGAGCUGCACAGAGGACACUAUAGACCAAUGAUAAACCACAGAGGAAAACACUAGCUAAGUAAACAUGUACUCUAUGAUCAGUGCAUGUACAAAAACUCCAAAGAUCUGAAUAAAGAACUAAUAAACAUAUAAAGUUCAAAACACCAGACAAGGAUAACGGAUGAGUCAACAUGGACUCCAAAAACAAACAGGAAUAUACAAUCCCCCAGAAAACCUCCAGUAGGCACAGAAAUGUCUUGACACUAAAACUCAAUCUCCCAGAGUCCAGGAUGGAGCACGGAGAUAUGUUGUAUUAAUUCUCAAUUCCCCAGAGCCCCCAUGGAAAGGUAAACGGAAUCUAUUGCUAAACUGAAAUAAUCACAAUACCUAAACCUCCAGUAGACACAGGAAUGAAUCUCCAAGAGUCCCCAUGGACCAGUAACAGGGAUACCUAGUUACAACUCAGAAAAACAGAUACAACAGGAUAUAAUUAUAGAGCACUGUUCACACUGAACACAAGACAGGAAAACAGAUGAGUCUGAACAGACUCCAGGAACAGACAGGAAUAAAGCAUAAUCCCCUUGAAAACCUCCAGUAGACAAAGGAAUAACAAUACCCUCUGAGUCUCUCACACAAAGGUAAAUAGUGUCUAUUGCUAAACAGGAAUAAUCGCAAUCCCUCAGAACCUCCAGUAGACACAGGAAUGUCCCCAUGGAGCAGUAACAGUGAUGCCUAGAUACAGAAACACAGAAAACGGAUACAAGAGAAAACAGUGUGAACAGAUACAUAGCAGAAAGGACAUACAAAUCCUAAAACCGACUAUACAAACAUGGAUUAAAACCUACUAUGAGCAUGCUAUCUAACCAUGGGUAAAAGUUAAGAGUUACCAUGUAUUUUUAUGCUAAGUGAUAUCCAGUUUAGCCCGUUUAUAUAUGUAUAGGGUAGUAUCAAAGGUUAUUGUGCUUCAUUGUUGUAUAUUAUCACUCUAUAUAGUUUGAUCUCUGCCAUUUAUAUUUGAUGGUUGAGGUUCUAAACAGAUUGAGCAUAGUUAUUUCUUUACCAUUCUUCGUACAUGUACCUGCUUGAGAGUGGCCAUAGUUGCUUGAUUUGUUGUUAAUUUUUUUUU